GUGUGGAUGUCCUUUUAGGGCCUAGGAAAGGAGGGUCUGAUGAGGAGGCAUUGAAGAAAAGCCAGUAUGACGACGAUGCUUUCAUGGGAAGAUGAGCAGGUGCGAGACAGGGAGAAGCCAUUCUACUUCUGGCUCCAGCGGCAGCGGUACCAGUGACUGUAUACAACAGGGGGCCCGAGAAGCAUCUGAGGCUCCAGCGGAGACACAGGGUUGGCUUCCGCUCCCCAGCAGUGGGGACGUCACCAGACAU
rnacentral:lncRNA from 1 species